rnacentral:rRNA from 1 species
UGCUUAACACAUGCAAGUCGAACGGAAAGGCCCUGCUUUUGUGGGGUGCUCGAGUGGCGAACGGGUGAGUAACACGUGAGUAACCUGCCCUUGACUUUGGGAUAACUUCAGGAAACUGGGGCUAAUACCGGAUAGGAGCUCCUGCUGCAUGGUGGGGGUUGGAAAGUUUCGGCGGUUGGGGAUGGACUCGCGGCUUAUCAGCUUGUUGGUGGGGUAGUGGCUUACCAAGGCUUUGACGGGUAGCCGGCCUGAGAGGGUGACCGGCCACAUUGGGACUGAGAUACGGCCCAGACUCCUACGGGAGGCAGCAGUGGGGAAUAUUGCACAAUGGGCGGAAGCCUGAUGCAGCAACGCCGCGUGCGGGAUGACGGCCUUCGGGUUGUAAACCGCUUUCGCCUGUGACGAAGCGUGAGUGACGGUAAUGGGUAAAGAAGCACCGGCUAACUACGUGCCAGCAGCCGCGGUGAUACGUAGGGUGCGAGCGUUGUCCGGAUUUAUUGGGCGUAAAGGGCUCGUAGGUGGUUGAUCGCGUCGGAAGUGUAAUCUUGGGGCUUAACCCUGAGCGUGCUUUCGAUACGGGUUGACUUGAGGAAGGUAGGGGAGAAUGGAAUUCCUGGUGGAGCGGUGGAAUGCGCAGAUAUCAGGAGGAACACCAGUGGCGAAGGCGGUUCUCUGGGCCUUUCCUGACGCUGAGGAGCGAAAGCGUGGGGAGCGAACAGGCUUAGAUACCCUGGUAGUCCACGCUGUAAACGGUGGGUACUAGGUGUGGGGUCCAUUCCACGGGUUCCGUGCCGUAGCUAACGCUUUAAGUACCCCGCCUGGGGAGUACGGCCGCAAGGCUAAAACUCAAAGGAAUUGACGGGGCCCCGCACAAGCGGCGGAGCAUGCGGAUUAAUUCGAUGCAACGCGUAGAACCUUACCUGGGUUUGACAUGGAUCGGGAGUGCUCAGAGAUGGGUGUGCCUCUUUUGGGGUCGGUUCACAGGUGGUGCAUGGCUGUCGUCAGCUCGUGUCGUGAGAUGUUGGGUUAAGUCCCGCAACGAGCGCAACCCUUGUUCACUGUUGCCAGCACGUUAUGGUGGGGACUCAGUGGAGACCGCCGGGGUCAACUCGGAGGAAGGUGGGGAUGACGUCAAGUCAUCAUGCCCCUUAUGUCCAGGGCUUCACGCAUGCUACAAUGGCUGGUACAGAGAGUGGCGAGCCUGUGAGGGUGAGCGAAUCUCGGAAAGCCGGUCUCAGUUCGGAUUGGGGUCUGCAACUCGACCUCAUGAAGUCGGAGUCGCUAGUAAUCGCAGGUCAGCAACGCUGCGGUGAAUACGUUCCCGGGGCUUGUACACACCGCCCGUCAAGUCAUGAAAGUUGGUAACACCCGAAGCCGGUGGCCUAACCGUUGUGGGGGAGCCGUCGAAGGUGGGACUGGUGAUUAGGACUAAGU